GAUGCCGUAUGCGGAGCUUGCGAACUGCGAACUUGUGGCGCUGACUUGUGUGACUCCCGGUUCAUCCUCUUUGUUCGGUUCAUUGGGUUGGUGUUGGAGUUGGUCACCAUAUUCUGAACGUUUCACCUAUCGUUGCGGUGUACUGUUCUUGAUCUGCUGCGAAGCGACGAACCGCAACGGCAGUCACUCGCCUCAGCGAACUUCUGUCUGUUGCAUCUCAAAGGAGCAUGGGGACCUGAUGAUACCUUCAACUAAAGAAACCAAAUGUGCUCUCGUGUGGUCCUGACGGAAAAGUAGUAUCAACAAGAACCCUCCACUUUUUCAACCAAGUUAUCUUUAUGAGAUCCUUCUGAUGGCUUCUUACUAGGCUAUGCCGCUCCGAAGCAUUGAGAUGACGAAGCGUCGUGGUAGCUGCACCUCUGCCUUCGAAAGAUGAAUCAGUCAUUCCACACUGUGCUUACUGGCUUUGUAUAGAGUCUGGCAAAUCCGACAGACUUGGACUGCCUUUUUCAAGAAAGUUUGAAAUAGCGUCCCUUAUGCACCUGCAUUUCAAUUCCAAUCUGUAUUACAAGAAUGACAGACCACUCAACAGAGAUGAACAUCUGAAAGUGAAAGAGCUGGAAUGAAGAUACGUUGAUCUGUGUCAAAGGUUCUUAGUAUGUGUGCGAGUCGAGGACAUAGGUCUCAAGCUUAUUCCUGUCUUCAGAAGAGGUGACAACUAUGCUCCUUCUACCUAUUAACCAGCUCCACUUUUUAGGGUUCCCUGUAAACUAAUGGAGCACAUCAUGUACUACCACGUUGUCAACCAAGUUGAGUCUAUCGAUUUCUUUUUUUAAAUUCCAGCAUGGCUUUAGAAAAGGGUAUUCAGGCAAAACUAACGUAGUGGAAUUCGUUCACAGCAUUUCAAACUGUCUUGAUUUCUGGGUCCAUGUAGAUGUAGUAUUCUUUUUAUUUUGUAAGGGCUUUUGACACUGUGCUCGAUGCUCGCGUGUUGGCCAAAGUAGCCUAAUUAAAAUUUGAUCCUGCUACCUGGAUAUGCAGUUUCUCAACCAACCGUAACCGUGGCGACAACUCGUGAGGAGAACCUCCACCACCACCACCACCAUGCAGCAUUUGUUAUGUUACAAUCGCUUCACAUUUUAAUCUAGUCAAAAGCAAGGCCUUUUGGUGGUCGGUCUUGUACGAUUAUGUGCCCCUCCGUUAUGUAACACCACACUGGGUUCUUCAACCUAUGAGAUUAAAUAAAUAUAUUGCAAAGUAAAUUGUCUACAAGGCUCGUUAUUCCAUUUCGCCACACUACCACAAGCAAUUGUUAGAGUAGUGGCCCAGGGUAUGAAGCUCGCCACUAAUCAUCAUUCAAACAAAGUUCAUAAUGUAAAAUCCUUUACUCCGAACACUGACUUAACACAACAAUUAAGAAUAAAGAGAGUAAACGUUUCAUUGCCUAUCCAGGUGGCAUCAUCCCUCCAACAGAGAACAAUCAAAAACAACAUCAAAGGAGUCAAAUCGGUGGUCCGCAUUCCUUUCAUCCAACAUAUUUCAUACGCUAUUUGGAGGGCACUGUGCCCAUCAGGCACUUUGACUGUGCAUAUCAAGUUGAGUGCAUAGAAUGUGAUGCAACCUACAUUGGCGAGAUAGACAAAAGACGUGGGACAAGACUAAAAGAGCCAGUUGCCAGGGCUACUAAUGCUUAGCUUAACUAAACAGGACCGAAUCAGUCUACCACUGCUGUCCUAAGGGACAUAUAUUUUGAUGGUGCAGUAACCUUUGCU